UACGAAGGGGGCUAGCGUUGCUCGGAAUCACUGGGCGUAAAGCGCACGUAGGCGGAUCCUUAAGUCGGGGGUGAAAUCCUGGAGCUCAACUCCAGAACUGCCUUCGAUACUGGCGAUCUCGAGUCCGGGAGAGGUGAGUGGAACUGCGAGUGUAGAGGUGAAAUUCGUAGAUAUUCGCAAGAACACCAGUGGCGAAGGCGACUUACUGGACACAUAUUGACGCUGAGGUGCGAAAGCGUGGGGAGCAAACAGG
rnacentral:rRNA from 1 species